GAUGAACGCUGGCGGCGUGCCUAAUACAUGCAAGUCGAGCGAACAGACGAGGAGCUUGCUCCUUUGACGUUAGCGGCGGACGGGUGAGUAACACGUAGGUAACCUACCUAUAAGACUGGGAUAACUUCGGGAAACCGGAGCUAAUACCGGAUAAUAUUUCGAACCGCAUGGUUCGAUAGUGAAAGAUGGCUUUGCUAUCACUUAUAGAUGGACCUGCGCCGUAUUAGCUAGUUGGUAAGGUAACGGCUUACCAAGGCAACGAUACGUAGCCGACCUGAGAGGGUGAUCGGCCACACUGGAACUGAGACACGGUCCAGACUCCUACGGGAGGCAGCAGUAGGGAAUCUUCCGCAAUGGGCGAAAGCCUGACGGAGCAACGCCGCGUGAGUGAUGAAGGUCUUCGGAUCGUAAAGCUCUGCUAUUAGGGAAGAACAAACGUGUAAGUAACUGUGCACGUCUUGACGGUACCUAAUCAGAAAGCCACGGCUAACUACGUG
rnacentral:rRNA from 1 species